rnacentral:piRNA from 1 species
UACGGGGCAGGGCUGUGUGGGGAUUUAGGU